AUCUCUUCCUGCACUAAUUUAUCAGCAGCAUCUUUCAGACCACUGCAGCAUUUUAACUAAAGGUGGUGGAGCUUUUUUACGCAUUUUGUCCCCUUAAAAUUGUAUGGUUCUAUCUGAUAUUUUUGACAAAAUUUAGUUGUUCACAUAUUCUUAUUCUGUGUCAAGAUUUUUUUAAUGUUGUGUACAUUAUGGGACUUUUUAUUUAAAAAAAUAUAUAUAUAUAAGGUUCUAUGUACACAGUCAAAUGGAACACAAAAACUUUGAAGCUCAAUAUCUCAAAACAACUUGGAAUGCAGAUAGAACCUUAUAAUUCCAAGGGGACGAUUUGGCUCUGGAAUAGCCUUCCAUGGGAUUUACACAAGCUUCAGUCUGGAUUCAGAAUACCUGAGAAUAGAUGAUGGCAACCCCUCAGAGGACCUCAGAUGAUGCCAACCCUGAAACAACAUACACAACCACCACAUUUUCUUGAAGUUGCGUCCUCACACCAUAGAACAACGAUAAGGGGGUUUGCAGGGGUGGAUGGCACUACUAAGCAGGCGGAAGUUAAAGUCCGGGGAGGAGAAAGGAGGGACUUGGAGCUGGAGGCUCUCAGGCUCAGCCAUAAUGUCAGCCCAAGGUGGAGCCGACGGAGGGAAGAGCUCUGAAGGAGGAAUGGCCACUCUCUCCAGGGGGCCUACCAACAGUGGCAGAGGAGCCCGAGGCAUAGAGCCAGGGGCGAGGGAGCUAGGAGCCGAGGUGGAGCCGCUGGGUCUAUGGGCCAAGGCAGAGGUUGGAGGCGGCGUUAAGGGAUUCUCCUGCCAUGGCGAUGCUUUUCAUCACAAGUGUUAAAAAUAUUUUUAUAUUUUUUUGCCACCUAUGAUAAAGAGGUCAAGAAUAAAAUGAAUAAAUAAAUAAUUGGUGGGUAUCUUACCCAUUCUCACCUUAAA